rnacentral:lncRNA from 1 species
UUUCACUGCAGUGAAUUUCUCUUGCAAAAAUGAACUUUCUUGUUUCAUCGUAGCUGCUGAUAUUGUUGUGGUUAAUAUCGUGCAGGAGGUUUGUUGGAAGAAAAUGAAUCAGUUCCUGAAUCAAAGGCUGGAACUAUGGGGAGAGAAGCUUAUCAGCUUCGUCCAAAACCAGCAUCGAGCAAUGCUUAAGAAUGCAAACGCACUUCUUAGUAAGAUCCAGUAUCCUUUCCAGCCUUGGUCAAGAAGGGCUUGGUGGUCAUCCACUGUAAGACUUUCAUCCAAUUGCCUCUGAUGUUUUCUCACGAGACUCCGCACUGACUGUUAUGGUUUGGUUUACAUUGGUGUUGCAGGUACUUAUAUGGGCAAACGGCACUUGUUCCCUUCUUUAGUAGGAACUCCUUCAUUUUACUGGAUUUUAAACUCUUCUAACCUAGAUAUUUCCUCCUCCACACAUUUAAUGAAAU